rnacentral:misc_RNA from 1 species
GUGUGUGUGUGUGUGUGUGUACAUAACAAUAUGCUAUAACCACAAAAUUCUGGUUUUAUGCCAAGAUCAUGUCAACCAUACUAUUAAACAUUAUUAAUGCAAUGCAUAAGCCUCAUUAGGAUUUGCAACCUCACAAUUAAAUCUAGGAACAUCCAAGGCAGUUACCACACCAAUAUUGUUCUCAACCAGUCUAAGUGAAUGUCUGUGUCAUAGAAUACACGUCACAUUCUAUAGCAAAAUUAACAAGAUAAAAACUACAGCAUGACAAACAGAGAUAACGGCAACAAUUUAAGGCAGCUACUUACUCAGACAAUUGGGCAAUUGUAGGU